rnacentral:rRNA from 1 species
GAGGAAACUCUGAUGCAGCGACGCCGCGUGAGUGAAGAAGGUCUUCGGAUCGUAAAACUCUGUCCUUGGUGAAGAUAAUGACGGUAGCCAAGGAGGAAGCCCCGGCUAACUACGUGCCAGCAGCCGCGGUAAUACGUAGGGGGCGAGCGUUGUCCGGAUUUACUGGGCGUAAAGGGUGAGUAGGCGGUAAUAUGUGUCAGAUGUAAAAGGCUAAGGCUUAACCAUAGUUAGCAUUUGAAACUGUAUUACUUGAGUGCAGGAGAGGUAAGUGGAAUUCCUAGUGUAGCGGUGAAAUGCGUAGAUAUUAGGAGGAACACCAGUGGCGAAGGCGACUUACUGGACUGUAACUGACGCUGAGUCACGAAAGCGUGGGUAGCAAACAGGAUUAGAUACCCUGGUAGUCCACGCCGUAAACGAUGAGUGCUAGGUGUUGGGUAGCGAUACUCAGUGCCGAAGUAAACACAAUAAGUACUCCGCCUGGGGAGUAC